rnacentral:rRNA from 1 species
AGUGAACGCUGGCGGCAGGCCUAACACAUGCAAGUCGAACGGCAGCGCAGUAAGAGCUUGCUCGUACAGGUUGCGAGUGGCGGACGGCUGAGGAAUACAGCGGAAUCUCCUUUUGCGUGGGGGUUAACGUCGGCCAACUUACGCUAAUACGGCAUACGACCUACGGGUCAAAGCAGGGGAUCUUCGGACCUUACGCGAUCGAACGUGACGAUGACGGUUUAGCGACUCGGAGGGGUAAAGGCACACCAAGGCGACGAUCCGUAGCUGGUCUGAGAGAAUGAUCACCCACACUGGAACGGAGACACGUUCCGAAGUCCUACGGGAGGCCGCAGUGCGGAAUAUUGGACAAUGGGCGCAAGCCUGGUCCAGCCAUCCCGCGUCGGUGAAGACGGCCUUCGGGUUGUAAAGCCCUUUUGUUGGGAAAGAAAGGCAGCAGGUUAAUACCCCGCUGUUCUGACGGUACCCAAUGAAUAAGCACCGGCUAACUUCGUG